AAAGAGCACUCGCAUUUAAUGGAAAUUGCAUAAAAACAGAAAGAACGUGCCAAGUUGCCGUAAAAUCACUUUGUUUAACAUAGCCUUUGUUUUCAUUAAGCAGGUCAUUAGCAUCCCAAAUAACUUCAUUCACCUUGUUUAAUCGUCUGUUUAUCCCCUAUAGCUUUCAUAGCUCUGUACUAUGCCAAAAUCAGCGGGGAGCAAUGUCCUCAAUACCGAUGAACGUUCAGCUCUGUCUUUUUUUUUUUUUUUUUUAAAUAACCUCCUGACAAAGACCAUGAAACAAGAAUGUAACAGACAGUGUUUCGCAGCUCAACAUUUAUUAUUUAACAUAACAUGUUUCUAGUUUCAGUAUUGGUGAAAGUGAAGGGACAUCAGGGGUUUGAAACUUAACACGUAAUUUCAUUUUCGGCGUUCACGUCUCCCUGAAAGAGCCAUAGCUUUAAUAAAGCUAUGUCGUCACAGCAUCACUGAGAAGAGCUCCGUCGCAUGAGAAGGUCAUCAUUAAACCUUGCCAAACGGGAAAUCGAUCUCCAUGCGACGGCUGCAGAAAGAGAAUCUUCUCGGGAGCGUGGUUUGAGUCUUUCUGUUUUUAUUUUUAUUUAUUUUUUCUUGUCUUAAACUAACUUAUGGGUUGUAAAACUUGAUGUAACUCCAUCGUUUUUUAAUCCAUUGCUCAAACUUCAAUUAUGUCACGUCUCUUUCGUCUAUUUUUUUUUCUUUCUGAGUUCUUCAUUUCAUUCGUUUAUAAAUGAUCUAUUAGGCUACUGUUUUCUGGUGCUAUACCGCAACAGCUACAAUCCAAAAUGGACUUGAUUUGAAUGUGGCUAUGAUGUCUGUGUUGCUUGCACAAUUGUGUAGCCUAUACGUUUUAAUAUGACCUUUCUUAAAAAAUAGCUAAUUGUUCUAAGACUCACCAGAGAGUUGGUCAAAUUCAUAAGUGUUUAGGGCUUCGUAAAAGACACCAACAGAUUACAAAGCGAAGGCAAUCGAUUAAACAAAAAGCAUCGUUCAGUAGGCUACCGCUUAUAUUCCCAGUUUAUCGCUCUUGUAGUUGUCAUCCUCUGCCGGGACGUUGCUCUCCACUCCCUGAAUUAUGCAAGACAAGUGCAGCUUGCAGCGUUGUGGGGCCGUCGUAACGGGGCGCAAAUGCCCCUUUAUAUUCUCAGCUCAGGGUCUUAACCUCAGCUGUAUUUUGAAUCCGCUUGGCUUGUUAAAUGUAAGUUGUAGUACAAUGGAAGCUUUUUAUUACUUCUGGCAACGAUGUCACACCUUGCUAGGCAAGAUGCAAUUCAGGGAAAAUGUUUAGUGUGAUAAAUGUUUGAUAUUUGAAAAAAAGAAAUUAGGUAAUUUGUAAUGUUAUGCUCAUCAUAUAACUCUUUUUAUGAAAUUAUUAUUAUUGAUAUGUUUUAUCAUUUAGUGUCAUUUGGCUAGUAUAAAUUAUGUGCAGUUUGUUUAAGGCUAUGAGUUCCUGAAACCUCGAUGAUAUGUGAUUUCAUUCUUUUUUUCUUUUUUUUUUUUUGCCGGGGGAGGGAGGCGAAAUGCGAGCAGCAUUUUCAACAGAGAUGCCCCCUCCCCUCUUUUUUGUGUGGUCUCAUUAAGUGGGCAUCCUGCUAGGUCUGCGGAGUUACACGGGAGCUGUCCAAUCACUGCAUUUGCACGGCUUGUUAGCGACAUUUAAUGAGGGUUCUCUGCACACCAAGUGAAUGGCGCUUCAAUGUUAGAUUUACCUUGUGUCAACUCGUUACUUCUAAUGAAGCCAUUGGAGGUUUCGCUGGUGAAUGGGGCCGGACGCCUGGAACUGCAGGCCCUCUUUCUUCCGGUUUCUCUUAGAGCUUUGGCUUGGCCCAAAUCCAUUGGCUAUGUGUGGUGUGGGUGGUGAGGACGAGCACUGUAUUUUGGGGGGGUCGAGGGGGAGUAACGGAGAUAUUCAUAUAAAAUAGCUACGUUGUAUCCAUUUUAUUGUGCUUUAACUGAUUAUGUUAAUUUCAGGACCUAGGAUUUCAUCAUAUCCAGAACCUGUGAGUGAUAAAGUAAUUAUUCCAGCCCCCACCGCGCGAUAAAUGUAAAAACCAUUAGGAUUAUCCACUAUAAUCUACACAUUUUUCCACAAUGUUUUGAUAUUUAGGGAUAUUUUUGUCCAGUUGUUGCAUGUGCAACAAGGCGUUUAGACUAAUCUUGAUGCAAAUUCUUAAUAUAGUGUCUAAAACGGAAUUCAUUUAGUUAUUUAAAAUACAAGGUUACCAAUUAUAUAAACAAUAGUAAUGAUGUUUAUACAAUGUAGGCUAGUAUGAAGACUCGAAGGAAUUUUUUAUUAACAUAUAUUCUAAAUGUGCUAUUUGAGUUUGAGGCAUGCAAAGUUAGAUGCAUCAUGUUAAUGAUUUCGCGAAACUUUACAUUCACUGACAUUAACAUAAUACAUUAACAGAGUAAGUUAAAAAAAAACGUUGAACUAUUUUAAGACAGCGUGCAGCUAAUUACACAAAUUAAAUGCUGGGACUGCGUACAUAUUGCCUUCUGGUUCUAUAAUUCAAUUUCUCGAAUUAACGAUAUAGCCAAUUGUUUUUAAAACAUGAAAGAAACUUGAAGAGAUAUCGAUUUAAUGUACACAUAAAAAUUGUUUUUAAGAAGUAGUAAGUAUUCUGUGGUUAUAGCCUAUUAGCCUACAUUUUCAAACAUCCUGUUGUCAUUCACUCGGGUCUUAUGGUCUUCUUUUGCGUUUCGUAUUGGUAGCCCUAUCAGUUGUUUUGUCAAUCUUGAUCAGGUGCAAAGUGACACGAUAUAGGCUAACCAUUGAAGGCGCUGUCAUAACGACCCGGGGCAACCCGACAAUAAUUCAUAAACGCUGGCAAUCUGUCACGGGGCAGAUUUGCGUCCACGGGGAGUUUUCUAUUAGAGCUUUUAAAUGGACAGAAAGUGAAACACAGGUCUGUGCCUAGUAAAACAAUCCAAUCUGGAGCAAAUCGUCAACAUGGGCAAAUUAUUAGCGCCUCAGUUGAGCUACUGCUGAAAGGGCAGACCCAUUCAUGAAUUGUGCUCAAUCUCUUCGUCCAUUCUCCCUCAGUCAUUCAUGCUAUAAUGAUUCAAUUUGGGCAUGUUGGAAAAAUGAGACCCAAAUUUGUGUGGGACAUUUGAAGAUUUUUCACUUUAACUAGGCUAAUUCUUAAUGAGUAAUUAAAGUAUUUAGUUUUGUCGUUAAUUUGUCGUUGUCGUUAAAAUUAAAUUUGUCUUUUUUCCCUCUCAACAUUUUUUUUUUUUUGAUUGGAAAUGGCACCAAUAGCCUACAUCUGAAGUAGAGUGAUGGAUGAAAAAAAAAAAAAAAAAAAACAUUGAGAUACAAUAGACGUGCUGGAUUUUCAAA